GUGGGGAAUAUUCCGCAAUGGACGAAAGUCUGACGGAGCAACGCCGCGUGAGUGAUGAAGGUUUUCGGACUGUAAAGCUCUGUUGUUUAGGACGAAAGUGCCUGUUGCAAAUAGUUACAGGUAUUGACGGUACUGAACGAGGAAGCCACGGCUAACUACGUGCCAGCAGCCGCGGUAAUACGUAGGUGGCAAGCGUUGUCCGGAAUUAUUGGGCGUAAAGAGCAUGUAGGCGGGAAUCUAAGUCUGUUGUGAAAAUGCGGGGCUCAACCCCGUAUUGCGAUGGAAACUGGGUUUCUUUAGUGGAGGAGAGGAAAGGGGAAUUCCCAGUGUAGCGGUGAAAUGCGUAGAUAUUGGGAGGAACACCAGUGGCGAAGGCGCCUUUCUGGACUGUGUCUGACGCUGAGAUGCGAAAGCCAGGGUAGCGAACGGGAUUAGAAACCCUGGUAGUCC
rnacentral:rRNA from 1 species